rnacentral:rRNA from 1 species
GACAGAGGGGGCAAGCGUUGCUCGGAAUCACUGGGCGUAAAGGGCGCGUAGGCGGGAUGGCAAGUCGGUCGUGAAAUCCUUCGGCUCAACCGAAGAACGUCGGCCGAUACUGCCGUUCUUGAGGGAUGCAGAGGAGAUUGGAAUUCCCGGUGUAGCGGUGAAAUGCGUAGAUAUCUGGAGGAAUACCGGUGGCGAAGGCGGCAUCCUGGACCGACAUUGACGCUGAGGAGCGAAAGCUAGGGGAGCAAACGGG